UACGUAGGUGGCAAGCGUUAUCCGGAAUUAUUGGGCGUAAAGCGCGCGCAGGCGGUUUCUUAAGUCUGAUGUGAAAGCCCACGGCUCAACCGUGGAAGGUCAUUGGAAACUGGGGAACUUGAGUGCAGAAGAGAAAAGCGGAAUUCCACGUGUAGCGGUGAAAUGCGUAGAGAUGUGGAGGAACACCAGUGGCGAAGGCGGCUUUUUGGUCUGUAACUGACGCUGAGGCGCGAAAAGCGUGGGGAGCAAACAGG
rnacentral:rRNA from 1 species